rnacentral:rRNA from 1 species
UACGAAGGGUGCAAGCGUUAAUCGGAAUUACUGGGCGUAAAGGGUGCGUAGGCGGCCUGUUAAGUCGGAUGUGAAAGCCCUGGGCUCAACCUGGGAAUGGCAUUUGAUACUGGCGGGCUGGAGUGCGGUAGAGGAUGGUGGAAUUCCCGGUGUAGCGGUGAAAUGCGUAGAGAUCGGGAGGAACAUCGAUGGCGAAGGCAGCCAUCUGGACCAGCACUGACGCUGAGGCACGAAAGCGUGGGGAGCAAACAGGAUUAGAUA